GUGCUGGCUUCAGUGUACAUAUACCAAAAUUGGGUAGUUGCCAGGAGGAUUAGCAUGGCCCCUAUGCAAGAAUGACACGCAUAUUUGUGAAGCGUUCCAUAUUUUU